rnacentral:sRNA from 1 species
AGGAGGAGGACGCAUAUGUGCGAAGCACAUAUUUAGGAUGCGUCCGGCGACCUGCCGCCGAACGAAUGUGAGGAGGCAAUACCGCGA